GGGACCUAACGAACCGAAGGGAGUAAUUGGAGGGGCACAGGAGCUAACGAGCGGCGCUAACGAGCUUUCCCAUAGGUGAGCAGGACAACUCGGACAACAACACCAUCUUCGUGCAAGGCCUGGGGGAGAACGUCACCAUCGAGUCGGUGGCCGACUACUUCAAGCAGAUCGGCAUCAUUAAGACCAACAAGAAGACGGGGCAGCCCAUGAUCAACCUGUACACGGACCGCGAGACGGG